AUACGGCCACAUCACGUUGAAACACGGGUUCCCGUACGAUCACCGAAGUUAAGCAACAUCGAGCCUCAUCACUACCAAGAUGGGAUCCGCUUGGAAUUACCAGGUGGUGUAAG